UUCCGUAGGAGUAAUGCUCGUUGGUAGCAACUGACUAAAAAAAAAUACAUUUAAUGUGCCAAUGGUUCCAAUCAGUCAGAGCCGACAAAUUUGAAGUAUUCACAUGUAGAAUGCUUAAUUUGUGACUAAUAUAUUAUAAAUUAAAUUAGCGUCUGGUUGUUUGCGAAAACUGUAGACUAAAUAUUUAUAUUAAAGAUUGUUGGCGACAUUGUUUUGUUAUUUAUCUUGUAUCAUUUAUGUUGUAUAUAUGAUUUUUAAAUGUUGGUUUAAAAUAUCGUUCUUAAUAAUGAUUCUUGUUUAUAUUGUUCAUAAAAUAAGUUAGUUUUGGAUUUAGCAUUAUCAAAUAUUGUACUGCAGUAUUUUUUAUUAUAUAAAAAAGGUCAAAAUGUCUGAUUCGGAUGAUUGUUUUGUCAGACAAGCGUUUGAUGUUGAUUUGCCUAAUGAUUUUGAUCCUUCAGAAGUUCCUACUGAUGGAAGAGGCUAUUUGCAGAAUGUUAUAUACGAAGCCAACCAUUGUCCUGAUGUUGUUGUGGCAGACCUGGGCAAGUUGCGACUUGCGAGUAGUGUUUGCAAACAAGUAAACAAUAACUCUGAAUGCCGAAGAAUUCCAGCCAAAAUGAUGCUGAGUUUGGAUGACCAGCAUGAAGAAGUAGCAGAAUUUUCUAAGGUCCGACAGAAAGUUGCCAGAGAAAGGGCAAGAAAUCCGAAUGUAAAACGUCGACAUGACUUGCCACAGGAUUUGGAGGCAUGGCACAAAUUUUGUUUUGGCGACAACUAUGUGGUAACGGAGAAGGAUGGGCUGCGGGAAGGUGUGCUUCCUUUGUUCAGCAUUCUUGCUUCUCUCUCCCAGUGUGAAGUCUUGGAACUACUUGAUUAUCAUAUUGAGUACUUGGAGUCAUUACCAGCAUUAUCCAACCAGCAAGCAGUGUGGCUAUACGCACUUCUUGUUUUUACUGAACUUCCCAUUUUGCCAGACACCUGCAACACAUUGCGAACUUUGGCUCGGAUGUGUGCCAGCAUUCGAGAAACGUUGAACUCUGUUCAUGACCCACAGUUACCAGCUCUUAACCUCUUCAUUUGUCUUGUGGCGAGAUAUUUCCAUCAAACCGAUCUGGGUGACAAUCCUAUCAGUGCUGGUAACGUAUAAUUUAAAUCAUUAUACGAGUUCAAUUUUCAAAUGGGUUGUUAAAUAUAAGUUUUUCAUUUUACCUUUGUAUGAUUAUUCCUGGAAAAAAAAGUUUAUAAAAUAAAAUUUAAAAAAAAAUUUUGCGUUUUAAUGUUACACAGAAGCUAUUUAAACCAGUGGUAAAAUAUGUUUCACAACAGAGCCAUUGUUUUGUACACAUUGUGACAUGCAUGCAUAAGUUUUAUUAAUAUGAUUAAUAGUAAUGUCUUGUAUACAUACAGUGUAAACUCUUUAUAAUGUCACUCAAUUUAACGACAAACUCCUUAAUACGCCGAAAUUGCUCGACUUUGGUUGGUUUACCUUGUUUUCGAUACAAUAAUGCACACUAUAUAGCGUCACACUUACUCUAUUUAACUACAACAAUACGACAUUAUAAAUCAUUAAGCAGUACUUUCUAAGUUGCCGAAGUUGAUAAGAACUGCAGCAGUGUACGCUAUUUUGUUGUUGUAUUAUCUAGCACAUGUUUUUUACUUCGACUGACGUACCGGAGAUUCUAAGUAAUUUUGUCUUUUGUUUUUGCAUGAUGAACUUGCACAUGUUUACCUCGGUCAUUAGUUUUUUGUCACGUUGUUACAUGUUAUCAUUUUCGCAGUUGCUUACAGACUUUCGAACUGUAAACAUGACGAGUAAACGAAAAUCUUUGUGUAUUGAUGAAGUUUUAUUACUACUCUCAAUAGAGACGAGAGAAAAGAUCAGUGAUGUUGGAAGAUGCUUUGGAUUUAGCCGCUCUACCGUGUCUACAAUAUGGAAAAACAAAGGAAAAAAUAUCAGACUAUAUACAAUAAGUGUUGUUAUUUGUAUGAAUAUUAAUGUUCGUGUGUAAAAUGUGUACUAUAUGA